UGCAUAAUGCAGCCACCUGCACCCAUGU
rnacentral:piRNA from 1 species